UCUACGCGUAAAUCUACAACUUUUGCCAGAUCAGACAGAUGAAUGAAGCCACAGAGCUCUGGCCGCUGGAGCGUGCAGCGAACGUGUAGACAGGAUCUUGGACUGCUGCACCGUCCGUGCUUCAGUUCAAUGCGGAAUCGGUUUUUUUCUUGCUCGUUGCCGUCUGUGGGUGUUCUGGGCGGAUGCGUGUUCUGCUUGCGGCCCUUCAUAAUUAUUGUUAUUUUCUGGGAGUUUGAGUGACGCUCCGUUGCAAUCUGGUUGCGAAAGUGAAGCGCUUUCGUUCGUUACCUGCCCAUCGGCAGGUGGCGUUUAGAUUUGUGGGACUUCCAAUCGUCCGGGUCAACAUUACCAGAAUAGCGGACGCCGGACAGGAACCACCCGGUCGUUAUCGGGAGCAGGUGCUUCUCCCUGGCUUGAAGUCAGUGAGCGUGCGGACAUGUUGGUGCCUGGAGUGGUGAAUGGAUGUCCAGUAAACGCUGUGAUUGAUACAGGAUCCGCCGCUACAUUGUUGUCAGAGGAUUUUGCUGACCGCCUACCUAAGGAGCUG